rnacentral:lncRNA from 1 species
AGCCUGUCAAAAAAACACCUGAUAAAUGGAAGAAGGAGAUGGCAGAACAGAAGAUUUCCCAUGAAACCAAAAGAUAGAAAUUGGAAGGAAAUUUGGUUAUGUGAAUUUUAAGUCUGCUGAUGACCAAGGAAAAGCCUUGAAACUUAGUGAGACAAAGGUCCUUGGGUAUGAAAUUAAAUUGAGAAAACCAAAAGGAAAGGAAGUAAAGAAAGGCAUGCAAACAAGAUCGGAAUGCCAAAACACUUUUGAUCAAGACCUGCCUGACAAAGUCACUCAAUGUGAGUUAAAAGAAGUGUUUAAGGAUGCCUUUCAAAUCAGAUUGGCCAUCGAGGAUGGGACAAGUAAAGGAUUGCGUAUGUUGACUUCAAGUCACAGGCUGAUACAGAGAGAACCUUGGACAAGAAACAAGGAACAAGGUGGGCUUGCCACAGUUCUGGACCAUGUUAGAGAGAAAAGCCAAGGCCAAGAAGGGAGAGGUGGGAGAAGCUCAGCGCAUGGAGAAGUAAGGGACGCUAACCAGAGAGGGGCUAGCAGGAAGAUAGGGAUACUUCAUGGGGCGCCGGGGUGGCGCAGUUGUUAAGCGUCUGCCUUCGGCUCAGGGCGUGAUCCCCAGCGUUCUGGGAUCGAGCCCCACAUCAGGCUCCUCCACUGGGAGCCUGCUUCUUCCUCUCCCACUCCCCCUUGCUUGUGUUCCCUCUCUCGCUGGCUGUCUCUCUGUCAAAUAAAUAAAUAAAAUCUUCAAAAAAAAAAAAAAGGACACUUCAAAACAGUUUCUCCCUGUAUCAAAAGUGUGUAAGUCAUCCUCCUCUCAAGCGAAUGCAUAGUGUCCUAGUUAACUCUAACUGUGAAGUCUGCAAAAACAUGGCACUUUGAGAUACAUCAGCUCAGCUCCCCUGCUUGGGUAACUUCUAGGAUUCUGUUUGGACAGGCUCUUAAACCUGUGGUUUCAGAAUUCAAUAUUUAAUUCUCUUCAAGUAGAGUUUUUGUCUGAUUUAAACCAAAGACCCCAAACCAGGGUCCCCAGGCUGCCUAAUCUGAUGGGUAGCUGUUGUGACUUAUAUAGUAUUUUCAGGGAAAAAACAAUUUAAUUUAUUAUGAAUCAAGAAAUUUCACAUUGGCAGUACCCCUCAUCUGCCUAAUCUUAUGGGUAGUCAUCGUAGCUUAUGUAUUUACAGGAAAAAACCCCAAUUUAUUAUGNUUAAUUUAUUAUGAAUCAAGAAAUU